GGGGAAUAUUGCACAAUGGGGGAAACCCUGAUGCAGCGACGCCGCGUGAGCGAUGAAGUAUUUCGGUAUGUAAAGCUCUAUCAGCAGGGAAGAUAAUGACGGUACCUGACUAAGAAGCUCCGGCUAAAUACGUGCCAGCAGCCGCGGUAAUACGUAUGGAGCAAGCGUUAUCCGGAUUUACUGGGUGUAAAGGGAGCGUAGGCGGUCCUGCAAGUCUGAUGUGAAAGGCCGGGGCUCAACCCCGGGACUGCAUUGGAAACUGUAGGACUAGAGUGUCGGAGGGGUAAGUGGAAUUCCUAGUGUAGCGGUGAAAUGCGUAGAUAUUAGGAGGAACACCAGUGGCGAAGGCGGCUUACUGGACGACUACUGACGCUGAGGCUCGAAAGCGUGGGGAGCAAAC
rnacentral:rRNA from 1 species